CCCCGAGGACCGGGGCUCGCUCCGCGCAGCCGCUCAGUUCCCACGCAACCAGGGGGGGGGAACCAGGCAUCACAUCGGCGGAGCCUGCGCGAACUGGUGAGGACGCAAGGCGUCGUGGGGUCUGCCUGGCUGCCAGGGCGGGGGAUCGUUGGCCGUCUCCCGGUCCUUUUCCUGCCUGCUGCCAGCCGAUAAGGAAGUCCAGUCAAAUUCCACUAUGAAAACAGACGUGCAUGGGCACUGGCCCGGGGGAAUCUGCCAAGCGGCCAGUCAGGAGUUUGAAGGGACUAGGCACAUUCUCCUUGUUCUUCUCUCCAGCUGAGGAGGGUUGAAGCGGAAAAGAGACGACAUAUACCAAUAGCACAAUUUUCUCAUCCAGCUGAGCCUGGAUCUCAGCAGAGGUUAAACUUAUUUUGACCCUUCUGGGCGACCCAGUCCAUAGAUUUUAAAAUGUACCAUUAGUUCUGACUCGAAUGAUGGAAAUAUUUUUUUGAACUGCAUCAAUGGAUACUAAACAUUUUUGUGAAUCAGGAGGUAUGCAUUUGGAGCCUUUUUUUCCUUCUUAUUUCAUUAUAUUUUUGAAAAGAAUGUGUAUCCCGGUGCUCAAAGUAGUUUCCCCUGUGUGUGAGCAGCAGUUGCCACCUGCUGUACUUUAACUGAUACAAAUACAUUGGUUGUCAUCAAGAUGAACACUGGACUUUUCAGAAGUGCUGCAUCAUUUGAUUUACAAGAGCAGCUUCAAGACAAGGUUUAAACAAUAUUGCAGCUUCUCUCAGCUCUGGAGUCCUGAAUGCAUUAUGUAGCCAUGAAUAUCACAGUUUCUCUGAUCUCUGUAAAUCCUGAAGGAUUAUACUGUCAUAUUAGAGCUUCAAAUAAUAUGGGAACGCUUUAAAAACUGCCAGGCAGUAGCUUGUGUGAUACAAAACCAAGAUACAAACUGAAUAAGACAUUUUUUUCUUAUGAAACAGAAUAGAAUUAUAGUGUCAGACCUGAGACCAGACAAUAGAUUAGUGAUAUUUUAGUCAAAGCCCAAAGUUUGUGUUCUAUUUGAAUCUUUUUGUAUCAUUCUUUUUGCCCAAUUAAGAUCUGUCUUAAUAAUUAAUACAUUAAUUGUCAAACGAUCAGAUAAAGAAUGUAUUAAUAAUAAUCAACAAUGUACUAUACUGUACAUGCAGCUUGUACUGCAUGUGAAGAACAGACAGUGCAGCAAAUGUAACAGUGUGCAUGAAGUUAUAGUGCAGACUUUCAGGCUUAAUGGUGUUCAAAUCAAUAUCCACUGUAACACCCCCCAGAGUAAACAGACUAUGAAUAUGACACUGCUCGUCCAAUAAUCAUGGCCAAACUCUCUUACAGCUCAAAGACAGUCUUUGUUUGCAGGGUGCUGCAGUAGUGUCAAAACAAUAAAAAUCCAUUGCUAUAUUAUACUACCGUAGUCUAUAAUAGCUCUGCAUGUAGGCCAAUAUAGACCUUUAAUGGUGGCUAUCAUUUUAGAAAAGAUUAAUCUUGAUUUUUUUUUUUUAAUAUUUCCUAUUGGUUGACCAAUAAAACAUAUUUCUUUCUGCUCA